rnacentral:rRNA from 1 species
UACAGAGGUCUCAAGCGUUGUUCGGAUUCAUUGGGCGUAAAGGGUGCGUAGGUGGCGCCGUAAGUCAGGUGUGAAAUCUCGGGGCUCAACCCCGAAACUGCACUUGAUACUGCGGUGCUCGAGUACUGGAGAGGAGAUUGGAAUUUACGGUGUAGCAGUGAAAUGCGUAGAUAUCGUAAGGAAGACCAGUGGCGAAGGCGAAUCUCUGGACAGUUACUGACACU